UUUAAAUAAUUUUACUGUGAAACUGCGAAUGGCUCAUUAUAUAAGUUAUCGUUUAUUUGAUAGUACCUUACUACAUGGAUAACCGUGGUAAUUCUAGAGCUAAUACAUGCUAAAAACCUCGACUUCGGAAGAGGUGUGUUUAUUAGAUUAAAAACCAAUGCCCUUCGGGGCUCACUGGCGAUUCAUAAUAACCUCUCGAAUCGCAUGGCCUUGCGCCGGCGAUGGUUCAUUCAAAUUUCUUCCCUAUCAACUUUCGAUGCUAGAGUAGUGUUCUAGCAUGGUUACAACGGGUAACGGAGGGUUAGGGCUCGACCCCGGAGAAGGAGCCUGAGAAACGGCUACUACAUCCAAGGAAGGCAGCAGGCGCGCAAAUUACCCAAUCCCGACACGGGGAGGUAGUGACGAUAAAUACUGAUACAGGGCUCUUUUGGGUCUUGUAAUUGGAAUGAGUACAAUUUAAAUCCCUUAACGAGGAACAAUUGGAGGGCAAGUCUGGUGCCAGCAGCCGCGGUAAUUCCAGCUCCAAUAGCGUAUAUUAAAGUUGUUGUGGUUAAAAAGCUCGUAGUAGAACCUUGGGCCUGGCUGGCCGGUCCGCCUCACCGCGUGCACUGGUCCGGCCGGGCCUUUCCCUCUGUGGAACCGCAUGCCCUUCACUGGGUGUGCCGGGGAAACAGGACUUUUACUUUGAAAAAAUUAGAGUGCUCCAGGCAGGCCUUUGCUCGAAUACAUUAGCAUGGAAUAAUAGAAUAGGACGUGUGGUUCUAUUUUGUUGGUUUCUAGGACCGCCGUAAUGAUUAAUAGGGACAGUCGGGGGCAUCAGUAUUCAAUUGUCAGAGGUGAAAUUCUUGGAUUUAUUGAAGACUAACUACUGCGAAAGCAUUUGCCAAGGAUGUUUUCAUUUAUCAGGAACGAAAGUUAGGGGAUCGAAGACGAUCAGAUACCGUCGUAGUCUUAACCAUAAACUAUGCCGACUAGGGAUCGGACGAUGUUAUUUUUUGACUCGUUCGGCACCUUACGAGAAAUCAAAGUGCUUGGGCUCCAGGGGGAGUAUGGUCGCAAGGCUGAAACUUAAAGAAAUUGACGGAAGGGCACCACCAGGGGUGGAGCCUGCGGCUUAAUUUGACUCAACACGGGGAAACUCACCAGGUCCAGACACAAUGAGGAUUGACAGAUUGAGAGCUCUUUCUUGAUUUUGUGGGUGGUGGUGCAUGGCCGUUCUUAGUUGGUGGAGUGAUUUGUCUGCUUAAUUGCGAUAACGAACGAGACCUUAACCUGCUAAAUAGCCCGUAUUGCUUUGGCAGUACGCCGGCUUCUUAGAGGGACUAUCGG
rnacentral:rRNA from 1 species